rnacentral:rRNA from 1 species
GACGAACGCUGGCGGCGUGCUUAACACAUGCAAGUCGAACGCGCCUGUCCUCUGGGUUUCUGGGGGGUGGGUGAGUGGCGAACGGGUGAGUAACACGUGAGUAACCUGCCCCCUUCUUCGGGAUAACGGUCUGAAAGGGCUGCUAAUACCGGGUAUUCACUGGUCUCCGCAUGGGGUCUGGUGGAAAGGUUUUUUUCUGGUAGGGGAUGGGCUCGCGGCCUAUCAGCUUGUUGGUGGGGUGAUGGCCCACCAAGGCUUUGACGGGUAGCCGGCCUGAGAGGGUGACCGGUCACAUUGGGACUGAGAUACGGCCCAGACUCCUACGGGAGGCAGCAGUGGGGAAUAUUGCACAAUGGGCGCAAGCCUGAUGCAGCGACGCCGCGUGAGGGAUGGAGGCCUUCGGGUUGUGAACCUCUUUCGCCCGUGGUCAAGCCGCGACGUGGGUCGUGGUGAGGGUAGUGGGUAAAGAAGCGCCGGCUAACUACGUG